rnacentral:rRNA from 1 species
UAGGGAAUCUUCGGCAAUGGGGGGAACCCUGACCGAGCAACGCCGCGUGAGUGAAGAAGGCUUUCGGAUCGUAAAGCUCUGUUGUUAAGGAAGAACGAGUGUGAGAAUGGAAAGUUCAUGCUGUGACGGUACUUAACCAGAAAGGGACGGCUAACUACGUGCCAGCAGCCGCGGUAAUACGUAGGUGGCAAGCGUUGUCCGGAUUUAUUGGGCGUAAAGCGAGCGCAGGCGGUCAAUUAAGUCUGAUGUGAAAGCCCCCGGCUCAACCGGGGAGGGUCAUUGGAAACUGGUUGACUUGAGUGCAGAAGAGGAGAGUGGAAUUCCAUGUGUAGCGGUGAAAUGCGUAGAUAUAUGGAGGAACACCAGUGGCGAAGGCGGCUCUCUGGUCUGUAACUGACGCUGAGGCUCGAAAGCGUGGGGAGCGAACAGG